rnacentral:lncRNA from 1 species
GCCUCAUCUGAAACAAACUCCUAUUCACUUCUGUGUGCUUUGUGCCAGUCACAGAGGGUGCUCUCAGAAAUAUGUGAUGCAUUGAACUGAAUUCAGUUUAAAUCAGGAAUACUAAGCCAUUUGGCUUCCUCCUUUUCCACAAGUCAAUAAAAUGGCAGCUAACCUAGUUGUUAUUUUUCAGGUGCUCUCAGCUGAAUGUGGCAAAAAGCCAGUUUACUUCCAGGAAAUCUCAGCACUUGACUUUCUGGAUUCAGAUUUCUAAACACUUUUAAAAAUAAGAGCACUGCCUGCUAUGGGUCAUGACUUUCCUUUUGAUUCCAAGUUUGCAAUGUCUAUACUGACAAGGGUACAGACAUUGGAAGGACUGAUGCUGAAACUGAAACUCCAAUACUUUGGCCACUUGAUCCUAAGAGUUGACUCAUUUGAAAAGACCCUGAUGCUGGGGAAAAUUGAGGGCAGGAGGAGAAGGGGACGACAGAGGAUGAGAUGGUUGGAUGGCAUCACUGACUCGAUGGACCUGGGUUUGGGUAGACUCUGGGAAUUGGUGAUGGACAGGGAGGCCUGGCAUGCUGUGGUUCAUGGGGUCACAAAGAGUCGGACAGGACUGAGCGACUGAACUGAACUGAACUGAGGGAACCCAGAUCAGGUAAAUCUUUGCUAACUCUUAGGAUUACUAUUCUAUUCUCCAACAGAAGUAAAAGCCAAGUAAACAGAAUACGUUUCAUAAUUCUAUCUUAAAAAGACUUAAUUCAGCAUGAGUCUACCUCUACUGAUUUUAAUAAAACAAGUGACAAUUGUAACA